rnacentral:lncRNA from 13 species
CUGCAUUUCAAUCGCUGUCAUUUGUGAUUCUGUUCUCCAUGUAGGUCAUAGGCCUUCUCCUUCUUGGUCUCUCAUUCCCUUGUUCAUUCUUUUAUUAUUGGUGUUUCACAAUAUUUCACUGUGCUUAUAGCAUCAAUGAUGACCAAUGUAUAUGACCCCUUCAUAUAUAUUGUUUUAUAUCUUUUCAAUUAUCUCAAUUCUUCCUUGGUUCUUGGCACCCUGAUGAACACUGUUUACUUCCUCUUAACAAUAGGAAGUAUUGUCCCUAUGCAGCUGCCCCUCUGCAACAGUGAAAACCUCUUCUGUUUUUUCCUUCCUCCCUGCUAAAGCAAGUCAGGGUUUCAAUUCAAUAAACGUUUUUUUGUUUGUUUGUUUUUUGUUUUUUUCUGAGCACCUAGUGAUAUCAGGAACUCAAAGCAGGCACUAAAAAUCAAAGGAGAACAGACUAUUCAAUGACUGUAGCACGUAGCAGUGACUAGAAGGGCAGGAGAAAGAAGAUACCAAAUGGAUUUUAUUCUUUUCCUUGGUUAACACAGCACUCGGAGCAUUUGCAUAAAUAGAUGUGACUCACGUGGGGAUUUAUCACGCAGCUGGGGGGAAUCCACAAGAUGGCCUGCCUCAGGAUAAACAACAGAAAAGAAACAAACUUGGGAUGAUUUCAGUAGCACAAAUCGAAAAGAAACAGUUUGGUUUAUCGGUGAAAAUGUUAGUAUCGUCCUCCUUCACACUACCAAUGGCUGACAGUGGAAAAUGAUGGAUGCUGAAGGAAGAAAGCACAACAUAAUAUAUUCAUCCCAAAUAGUUGGCUGGAUUUCAAAUUCAGGAAUUGAUUUAGAUGAACUAUAUGAAGAGCUGAGCUGAAUCCUUCAGAGGCACCUGACAGAGUAUUAAUAGUAAAUUUAUAGUACUUCUGGGGGAGGACUCAAGAUGGCGCUGUGAGAACAACCCAGGAUUGGAGCUCUCGUUGAAUCCGCAAACGGGACAUGGAUGAAUCUGGAGAACGUCAUCCUCAGCAAACUGACACAAGAACAGAAAAUGAAACACCGCAUAUUCUCACUCAUAGCCAGCCUGCCCUUCUCAAGUUUUCUGGUCGUAAAGCCAACGUGAGCAGCCCCACACUGAGUUCACCUGGGGCCAUUAUUACAAUUCUGACCUGUAGACUCAGGCAUGACGGAUGGCAAAAAAGAAGGAAAAUUCCAUGGGAUGUUGUCAGCUACAGGUCAAACACUUUAUUUUCUGGAAUGUGGGCAUUUGGGGAGGUACAAUAUAGAUAAUGACAAAGAAGAAGGAAAUAGAAACAUAGAAUAUUGGGGUUCAUUCAAUCAUCCACCCAUUCCUUUAAAGAUACUAAGAGCCAGCCAAUAUCAUACUGAAUGGGCAAAAACUGGAAGCAUUCCCUUUGAAAUCCGGCACUAGACAAGGAUGCCCUCUGUCACCACUCCUAUUUAAUAUAGUACUGGAAGUUCUAGCCACAGCAAUCAGGCAAGAAAAAGAAAUAAAGGGUAUUCAAAUAGGAAAGGUGGAAGCCA